rnacentral:rRNA from 1 species
UACGUAGGGGGCGAGCGUUGUCCGGAAUCAUUGGGCGUAAAGCGCGUGUAGGCGGCCCGGUAAGUCCGCUGUGAAAGUCGGGGGCUCAACCCUCGGAGGCCGACCGAUACUGUCGGGCUAGAGUCCGGAAGAGGCGAGUGGAAUUCCUGGUGUAGCGGUGAAAUGCGCAGAUAUCAGGAGGAACACCAAUGGCGAAGGCAGCUCGCUGGGACGGUACUGACGCUGAGGCGCGAAAGCGUGGGGAGCAAACAGG